rnacentral:lncRNA from 1 species
UGAGCUACUUGGAUCAUCACUAUGAUCUCAAGAAGGGAACUCCAUUUGUGGUUUUACUCCUCUUCCUUCAUCUUUGUAUGUUUAGGACCUUAGUCAUUCUUCUUCUUCCCUCCACUCUAACCCAAGCCAAAACUUUUGUGCAAACAUUAACAUUUGUUUGCAAAAUUAGAAACCUAAGCAUUAUGCUUUUGAUCUUCAAACUUUCCUUUCAUAACACUUAUUUUG